UACGUAGGUGGCGAGCGUUGUCCGGAUUUACUGGGCGUAAAGAGCGCGCAGGCGGUCGUUCAAGUCGCGUGUGAAAGCCCCCGGCUCAACUGGGGAGGGUCACGCGAUACUGAUCGACUCGAAGGCAGGAGGGGGUAGUGGAAUUCCCGGUGUAGUGGUGAAAUGCGUAGAUAUCGGGAGGAACACCAGUGGCGAAGGCGACUACCUGGCCUGUUCUUGACGCUGAGGCGCGAAAGCUAGGGGAGCAAACGGG
rnacentral:rRNA from 1 species